CUACGUGCCAGCAGCCGCGGUAAUACGGAGGGUGCGAGCGUUAAUCGGAAUAACUGGGCGUAAAGGGCACGCAGGCGGCUAUUUAAGUGAGGUGUGAAAUCCCCGGGCUUAACCUGGGAAUUGCAUUUCAGACUGGGUAGCUAGAGUACUUUAGGGAGGGGUAGAAUUCCACGUGUAGCGGUGAAAUGCGUAGAGAUGUGGAGGAAUACCGAAGGCGAAGGCAGCCCCUUGGGAAUGUACUGACGCUCAUGUGCGAAAGCGUGGGGAGCAAACAGGAUUAGAUACCCUGGUAGUCCACGCUGUAAACGCUGUCGAUUUGGGGAUUGGGCUUUAAGUUUGGCGCCCGUAGCUAACGUGAUAAAUCGACCGCCUGGGGAGUACGGCCGCAAGGUUAAAACUCAAAUGAAUUGACGGGGGCCCGCACAAGCGGUGGAGCAUGUGGUUUAAUUCGAUGCAACGCGAAGAACCUUACCUACUCUUGACAUCCAGA
rnacentral:rRNA from 1 species